AGGAACAUGAAGAUUUGAAAUCUUUUCAAUGUAACCUGGAGGAAAAUGUGUGAGAAGGAACUGAACUGGAUCUGACAUGGUGGCAUGUGAGGGGGCAGUCAGUGAGCCACAUGUGAUCCUACUUAUGGUUGAAUAAGUCAGACUUUGGAAACUCUGUCAACUAUUAUGGAUUGGCUUCCUGCAGCCAAGGUCCAUAUUAUAUUUUGCAUGGUGAGAAAUGGGAGAUCUUUCCUAAAUACUGUGCUUGUUCCCACCAUCAGUCAUCCUCAAGGAGGAAAUGUGGUCCCUAAGUAGAGAAGGCCAGUCUUUUACUCUGGCUGGGUCUGGGAAAGAGAGGGAAAGCCCAUAGUCUGGCAGUGAAAAGAUAAAAACUGUUGAAAGGGCUCCUAACUCUGGGAGGAAAGCUGUCAUUCUACAACACAAUGGCCAACUGAAGAUCACUGGUAGGGAAACUCUCUAUGGUAAAGUAUUGCCAGUAGAUACAAGGGCAAUGAUGACUAAAAUUUUGUUUUAAAUAAUCAUCUUUUCCUGUGUUCUAGUUUCUUUUAUCUCUAAGUCAGCAAUUAUACUGAUGAACACUAAAGACUCAGGUUAGCUGUGCUUUGGGAUUUUAGGGAGGUGCCUACAUCUACACUUGGCACAAAGUGUUAGUGGAUACCCUGGGCAGAAUGGAGAAAAGAUUUUGAGAUAGUAGGAAGAGAUCCUGUGAGAAACAUAGUAGUGGUCUGAGUAAGAGAUGACAAGAAGCAAUAAUGAUAUAUUUGUGGAGGCAUGUAAGCAUUUCCCAAGGAAUCUUAGACUGUUAGUGUAUAGAAAUGUAACUGAUUUCUGUGCAUUGAUUUUGUAUCCUGCCACAUUGCUGAAUUGCUGAGUAAGUUCUAGUAAUCUUGGGAUGGAGUCUUUUCAGUUUUCUUUAUAUAAUACCAUGUCAUCUGAGAAGAGGGAGAUUUUGACUUCUUUUUGCCAAUUUGAAUGCUUUUAUUUCUUUUUGUUGUCUGAUUGCUGAGGCUAGGACCUCUAGUACUAUGUUGAACAACUGUGGUGAGAGUGGGCAUUCCUGUUGUGUUCCUGACCUUAGGGGAAAAAAAAUCUCAGUUUUGCUUCCACUGAGAAUGAUAUUCUCUGUGGGCUUUUUGUAGAUGGCUUUUAAGAUAUUGAGUUAUAUUAUUCCCUCUAUCCCUACACUUUGAAGAGUUUUAAUCAGGAAAGGGUGCUGUAUUUUCUCAAAUGCUUUCUCUGCAUUUAUUGAGAGGAUCUUAUAUUUCUUGUCUUUUCUUUUAUUAAUGUGACCUAUCAUGUCAAUUGAUUUACAAAUGUUAAACUACCCUUACAUCCCAGGAAUAUUUCCCACUUGGU
rnacentral:lncRNA from 1 species